rnacentral:RNase_P_RNA from 1 species
GGAGUAAAUCAGACAAUCGCGGCGCAUAGUACGAGGAAAGUCCGUGCACCACAGAGCAAGGAUGCUUGAUAACGUCAAGUAGGAGUGAUCUUCAGGCUAGUGCAACAGAAAUAUACCGCCGAGUUUUCUCGGUAAGGUUGGAAUGGCGAGGUAAGAGCUCACCAGCUAUAUGGUGACAUAUAGGCUAUGUAAACCCCAUCCGGUGCAAGAACGAAGGGAUGAAAAACAAAGCUUGCUCGGCUUUGAUCCAGAAUGGUUGUUCGCUUGAACUUAUUGGUAACAAUAAGUCUAGAUAGAUGAUUGUCUAAUACAGAACACGGCUUAUAGAUUUGCUCCAUAC